GUCUAUGGACUCGACUCUUGCACAUCUACGUCUUAGGUUUGCGCCAAUUCGUGGUAAGCUUGGGUCAUAGAGACUCAUAGGUGUUAUAAAGACUCGCUGGUGUUUGUCUCCUUGAGGCAUACGGCUUUAACCAAAACUCUCAAAGUUUGACCUCAAAUCAGGUAGGAGUACCCGCUGAACUUAAGCAUAUCAAUAAGCGGAGGAAAAGAAACCAACCGGGAUUGCCUUAGUAACGGCGAGUGAAGCGGCAAAAGCUCAAAUUUGAAAUCUGGCGUCUUCGACGUCCGAGUUGUAAUUUGAAGAAGGCGACUUUGUAGCUGGUCCUUGUCUAUGUUCCUUGGAACAGGACGUCAUAGAGGGUGAGAAUCCCGUGUGGCGAGGAUCCCAGUUAUUUGUAAAGUGCUUUCGACGAGUCGAGUUGUUUGGGAAUGCAGCUCUAAGUGGGUGGUAAAUUCCAUCUAAAGCUAAAUAUUGGCGAGAGACCGAUAGCGAACAAGUACAGUGAUGGAAAGAUGAAAAGAACUUUGAAAAGAGAGUGAAAAAGUACGUGAAAUUGUUGAAAGGGAAGGGCAUUUGAUCAGACAUGGCGUUUGCUUCGGCUUUCGCUGGGCCAGCAUCAGUUUUAGCGGUUGGAUAAAUCCUCGGGAAUGUGGCUCUGCUUCGGUAGAGUGUUAUAGCCCGUGGGAAUACAGCCAGCUGGGACUGAGGAUUGCGACUUUUGUCAAGGAUGCUGGCGUAAUGGUUAAAUGCCGCCCGUCUUGAAACACGGACCAAGGAGUCUAACGUCUAUGCGAGUGUUUGGGUGUAAAACCCCGUACGCGUAAUGAAAGUG
rnacentral:rRNA from 1 species